UGGGGAAUAUUGCACAAUGGGCGCAAGCCUGAUGCAGCCAUGCCGCGUGUAUGAAGAAGGCCCUCGGGUUGUAAAGCACUUUCAGUGGGGAAGAAAGCCUCGGGAUUAAUACUUCCGAGGGAGGACAUCACCCACAAAAAAGCACCGGCUAACUCCGUGCCAGCAGCCGCGGUAAUACGGAGGGUGCGAGCGUUAAUCGGAAUUACUGGGCGUAAAGCGCGCGUAGGCGGUCUGAUCAGCCGGUUGUGAAAGCCCCGGGCUCAACCUGGGAACGGCAUCCGGAACUGUCAGGCUAGAGUGCAGGAGAGGAAGGUAGAAUUCCCGGUGUAGCGGUGAAAUGCGUAGAGAUCGGGAGGAAUACCAGUGGCGAAGGCGGCCUUUCUGGACUGACACUGACACUGAGGUGCGAAAGCGUGGGUAGCAAACA
rnacentral:rRNA from 1 species